rnacentral:rRNA from 1 species
GACGUAGGGCGCAAGCGUUGUCCGGAUUUAUUGGGCGUAAAGAGCUCGUAGGCGGUUUGUCACGUCGGGAGUGAAAACUCAGGGCUCAACCCUGAGCGUGCUUCCGAUACGGGCAGACUAGAGGUAUGCAGGGGAGAACGGAAUUCCUGGUGUAGCGGUGGAAUGCGCAGAUAUCAGGAGGAACACCGGUGGCGAAGGCGGUUCUCUGGGCAUUACCUGACGCUGAGGAGCGAAAGCAUGGGGAGCGAACAGG